rnacentral:rRNA from 1 species
AUUGAACGCUGGCGGCAUGCCUUACACAUGCAAGUCGAACGGUAACAGGUCUUCGGAUGCUGACGAGUGGCGAACGGGUGAGUAAUACAUCGGAACGUGCCCGAGAGUGGGGGAUAACGAGGCGAAAGCUUUGCUAAUACCGCAUACGAUCUCAGGAUGAAAGCAGGGGACCGCAAGGCCUUGCGCUCACGGAGCGGCCGAUGGCAGAUUAGGUAGUUGGUGGGAUAAAAGCUUACCAAGCCGACGAUCUGUAGCUGGUCUGAGAGGACGACCAGCCACACUGGGACUGAGACACGGCCCAGACUCCUACGGGAGGCAGCAGUGGGGAAUUUUGGAGAAUGGGCGCAAGCCUGAUCCAGCCAUGCCGCGUGCAGGAUGAAGGCCUUCGGGUUGUAAACUGCUUUUGUACGGAACGAAAAGACUCUGGUUAAUACCUGGGGUCCAUGACGGUACCGUAAGAAUAAGCACCGGCUAACUACGUGCCAGCCGCCGCAGUAA